AAGAGAGAGACAUGCGCGCAUAUCAAUAAGCGGAGGAAAAGAAACUAACAAGGAUUCCCUUAGUAACGGCGAGUGAAGCGGGAAGAGCUCAAAUUUGAAAUCUUCAAGGUUUUACCUUGACGAAUUGUAGUUUAAAGAAGGUGUUUUCUGCUGAAGUUUUGGUAAAAGUUCUUUGGAAUAGGACAUCAUAGAGGGUGAGAAUCCCGUAUUUGACCAUUAUUUUCAGCUUUGUGAUACACUUUCGAAAGAGUCGGAUUGUUUGGGAAUGCAGUCCAAAAUGGGUGGUAAAUUUCAUCUAAAGCUAAAUAUUGGCGAGAGACCGAUAGCGAACAAGUACCGUGAGGGAAAGACUGAAAAGAACUUUGAAAAGAGAGUUAAACAGUACGUGAAAUUGUCAAAAGGGAAGCGUUUGACACCAGUGUUGUUUUCUCGAAAAUCAAUUAAAAAUGGCUCGAUUUUGUAUUGUUGAGACCUUAAAAGCUCACUGUACAUUUUUCGUGUCUUUUUUAAUGCACUUUUCGUUUAACAAGUCAACAUCAGUUUCUUUUGUUGUAAAAGGGGUCAUUGGAAGGUGGCUUUCUUUUCGGAGAAAGUGUUUAUAGCCUUUGGCCUCUGCAAUCGGAGAGACUGAGGUCUGCAGCGUAGACUCUUCGGGGUUAGAUACAUUUAUGCUAAGUUAUAGCUUUUUAUAGACAACUUGUUGACUAUAAUUAGUCUUGUAGCUUACUCGCUUAUGCUAUUUUACCUACGCUUAGGAUGUUGAAGAUGUAGCACAUCAU
rnacentral:rRNA from 1 species